CCGAAACCACCGCCCACGCUUUUACACUUCCUAUUGCUAUGAAUUCCAUAGUGAGACAGGAGAUCAACCACAGAGUGAGGGAACUAAACUUUUGUCUCCAGCUUCUCUACUAGCACCCUAUCUAAUGAGGAUGCAGGUGGAGAAAAUAAGAAGCAGGAAAACUCAUGAUUCAAGGUAAAGGCACUUUAAUAAAGCAAAACCAAAGGUUGUACAUGGAUGCGAAGGAAGACCAAAAGAUUUCUUCUGUACUUCCCAUCAGCUGGUGAUAUCCAACCA